rnacentral:rRNA from 1 species
GGACGAACGCUGGCGGCGUGCUUAACACAUGCAAGUCGAGCGGUAAGGCCCUUCGGGGUACACGAGCGGCGAACGGGUGAGUAACACGUGGGUGACCUGCCUCUAGCUCUGGGAUAAGCCUGGGAAACUGGGUCUAAUACCGGAUAUGACUCCACGGCGCAUGUUGUGGGGUGGAAAGCCUUGUGUGGCUAGAGAUGGGCCCGCGGCCUAUCAGCUUGUUGGUGGGGUGAUGGCCUACCAAGGCGACGACGGGUAGCCGGCCUGAGAGGGCGACCGGCCACACUGGGACUGAGACACGGCCCAGACUCCUACGGGAGGCGAGCAGUGGGGAAUCUUGCGCAAUGGGCGAAAGCCUGACGCAGCGACGCCGCGUGAGGGAUGACGGCCU